GUUUUUGGACGUUAGUGUCAGAGAGAGCUUGUGGAUAACGGCUGAAGGGGAAGAACCGUUACAAUGACAGCGUCCAAAGAGCCGACCAAGAAGAAGCCGAAAGACGGGCUGCAGGAGGAGGAGUAUGUGGACGUAAGCCCCCCGCAGAGGAACUGGAAAGGCAUUGCCAUAUCUCUGCUGGUGAUCGUUGCAGUCUGCUCCCUCAUCACCAUGUCUGUGGUUGUCCUCACACCUGUGGAGGUUCCUGGCAGCAGCAGGUCCAGACUGACUGUGGCAGAUCUUUACAAACCAGAGUUCAGCGCCCACGACCCAGAGGCCCGGUGGAUUAGCAGUUCAGAGGUGGUGUACAGGAACCGCGACGGCCAUGUCAUCCAGUUUAACUUUGAAACAAACGAGACAGAGGUCAUUCUGAGCAACAGCACGUUUGUGUCUUUCAAGGUGGCAAAGUACUUUCUCUCUGCAGAUCUGAAGUAUGCACUCUUCGCUUACGACGUCAAACAAAUGUACAGAUAUUCCUACACCGCGUCUUACAUUGUUUACAACAUCUACACCAGGGAAGUUUGGGAGCUAAACCCUCCGGAGGUGCAGAACGCAGUGCUGCAACACGCAGCGUGGGGAAGACAAGGACAACAGCUGAUCUACAUCUUUGAGAAUAACAUCUACUACCAGUCAGACGUGAGGAGUAACUCUCUGAGGAUCACUUCCUCUGGAAUGGAGGGAGUGAUCUUCAACGGACUUGCUGACUGGCUCUAUGAAGAGGAGGUUUUGAGGUCACACUUGGCUCACUGGUGGUCACCAGAUGGAGAGAGACUGGCUUUCCUCACCCUGAACGACACCUUAGUACCAAACAUGGUUCUGCCACAGUUCACAGGCACCGCCUACCCUAAAGGACUACAAUACCCAUAUCCUAUGGCCGGUCAGAUUAACCCUGCUGUCAGGUUAUCAGUGGCCAACUUGUUUGGAGCAACACACACUCAAGAGAUGCAGCCUCCAGAACAGCUCAGGCACAGGGAUUUCUACAUCACGACAGUGAGGUGGAUCAGUAACACUCACCUGGUAGUGCGGUGGCUAAAUCGACCCCAGAAUAAUUCACUGCUGACUGUUUGUGACGCCACCAUCGGAGUAUGUGUUCAGAGACACGAGGAGUCUUCAGAUACGUGGCUUUCAAGACAGAGACAGCAGCCACUCUUCUCCAAGGACAGGAGCAGGUUUUUCCUCAUGUUGCCUGUGAAACAAGGAGGUCAGGGAGAUUUCCAGCACAUCAACAUGAUCACCAGAAAGCUACGAAGCGAGCAUGAUGAAGUUCGACACUUAACCUCAGGAAACUGGGAGGUGACAAAAAUUGUGGCCUAUGAUGAAAACAACCAGAUCUUAUACUUCAUGAGCACAGAGGACUCUGCAGAGCACAGACACUUAUACAGUGUGUCCACGCUCGGGUUGUUUCCACGUCGAUGCCUCACCUGUGGGCUGAAGGACGAGUGUUCGUUCUUUGAUGCUGACGUCAGCCCUGAUGCUCAGCACGCCAUCCUGCACUGUAAAGGUCCUGGGGUUCCAGCUGUCCUCCUUCUAAGUUUUGAUGAUGUGGACUCAUAUUUCAUCUUGGAGAACAACCUCCCUCUGCGGUCGGUGCUGGAGACCAAAAAGACUAUUCAGACAGAAAUCCGGACGAUUACAAAUGAUAAUUUUGAGCUGCCACUGAAGCUCAUCUAUCCUCCUGACUUCUCCGAGUCCUUCAUCUACGGCCUCCUGCUCGUUGUCGGCAGUUCUCCAGGUGGGCAGGCGGUGACUGAGGAGUUCAGGCCAGACUGGGACUGGGUGCUGGUGGGAUCAGAGCAGGUCAUCGUAGCCCGGCUGGACGGCAGAGGGUCAGGGUUCAGAGGUCAAAGGAUCUUACAGCAGGUCCAUCAGGGACUUGGCACUGUGGAUGUAGAAGACCAGCUCGCAGCUCUGGAGUACCUGACGAAGCUGCCUUUCAUUGAUCGCACGCGGGUCGGAGUCUUUGGAGAGGACUAUGGAGGUUUCCUGACUCUAAUGAUGCUGAAGUCGACAGAGAAGCUGAUCCGCUGUGCUGUAGCUCAGGCUCCCAUCAUCGACUGGUCCAUGUAUGCUUCUGCAUUUUCAGAGAGAUACUUCAGCUCACCGAACACUGAGGAGAACAAAUACGCAGCAUCCAAAGUGCUACCCGACAUGAAGGGUCUGCAGGGAGGGACUCUGUUUCUGGCUCACGGCACUGCUGAUGCGAACGUUCACUUUCAGCACUCGGCAGAGCUCAUUAAACACUUAAUAAAGAUUGGGGCCAACUAUACUAUGCAGAUUUACCCAGACGAGGGACACUUUCUGUCAAAACGCAGCCGGAUCCAGCUGACUCACUCUCUAAUUGGUUACUUCAGAGGAUGUCUGCUCGACGCAUCGUCAUUACUCGACCAGGAAAAGAGGGAUGACGAGUGAGAGGCAGUGUAUGCGAAAUACGAGUAAUGAUCAUCUGACAAAACAGCUGAAAUUUCCUCCAGAAACCAGGUGACAUGAAAUCAUUGUCGCAGGAAAACGUCUGCAGAGACUCUGUUUAAACUGAGCCUUAAUUACUUCAAAGCAAUUACAGAGCCAAAGAUGGAGGCUUCAUCCGCAGAGGAGGGAGAGAAAAAGUCCAGCAGAAACUUCAGAAACUGUGAGUUAAUUAACACUUGAUUUUAAGGAUGAGUCUGACUCUGGUGGACAAAUGGCCUAAAAAAUGUAUUAGUUUCUACUUAAUAAUAGAAGAGGGUUUGCCCUUAUUUUGACUGGCAUUUACAGUGAUUGGUACCUAAAAGAACAGCUAACUUUUAAAAGUGACAGUAAAAUGUCAAAAUGAUGACAUUUUCUCAUUUUUCUCAUCAAGCUUGGCAUGUUUAAGGCCAGUUAUUGUAUUUUAAGAAUGGAGUUUGUGUGUGUUUUUGAAUAAUGGAUACACAAUACUGCCUCUGAGGGCUAGACUGGUACCAGUCUUUUUCAUACCCCUUAGUGUAGUUGUGUAAUGAAUGAGUAGCACUGCACUGCCAUCUUGUGGCGGAAGCGAUUAGGAUUAAAGCUCAGAACCACAUCUAAAAUUUUGCAAAUGUGUUUAAUCUAGCAUUAUACUUUACUUUUACUGAAAAUCUUUUUCACUGUAUUUUUAUCUGAUGUAUUCUGAACUUUCUUUUGAGAUAAUUAGCAAAGAUUUCUUAAAGCAAAGUGAUUGAAAGGUGUAAAGCUCUGUUUCUGCUUCAGUUCAGUUUUCUCAAAGAAAUGUCCAAUCCGGAGAAGUAGGUGUAAACAGCUUUAAUUAGAAAAGGCAUUAAAGGCACAUCCUCUCUCUGUUCAGAGAGUCUUUAUUCUUUAAACCAAACACCAUGGGACUAAUCUUGUAAAAACUGCUCCUCGCAGUAGCAUUCGUGUUUUUAAGCGGUCUACAAAUCAUCAACACUUCACUUCAACCUGUUACAUCAAAGAAAGCUUCAACCGGUCUUUAAUACUCCUCGCCCUCUUCAUCCUCCUCGAACGAGUCGACUCCGACCUCCUCGUAGUCCUUCUCCAGGGCUGCCAUGUCCUCCCUGGCCUCAGAGAACUCGCCCUCCUCCAUCCCCUCUCCCACGUACCAGUGCACGAAGGCCCUCUUGGCGUACAUGAGGUCGAACUUGUGGUCGAGUCGUGCCCAGGCCUCGGCGAUGGCGGUGGUGUUGCUCAGCAUGCACACGGCUCUCUGCACCUUGGCGAGAUCUCCUCCAGGAACCACAGUUGGAGGCUGAUAGUUGAUUCCCACCUUGAACCCAGUGGGGCACCAAUCCACGAACUGGAUGCUGCGCUUGGUUUUGAUGUUGCUGAUGGCUGUGUUGACGUCUUUGGGUACAACAUCACCACGGUACAGCAGACAGCACGCCAUAUACUUCCCGUGACGUGGGUCACACUUCACCAUCUGGUUGGCAGGUUCGAAGCAGGAGUUGGUGAUUUCUGCGACAGUGAGCUGCUCGUGGUACGCUUUUUCAGCUGAGAUAACCGGAGCAUAGGUCGCCAGAGGGAAGUGGAUUCUUGGGUAGGGCACCAAGUUGGUCUGGAACUCGGUCAAGUCCACAUUCAAGGCGCCGUCGAAGCGCAAAGAAGCAGUGAUGGAGGAGACAAUCUGGCUGAUGAGGCGGUUCAGGUUGGUGUAUGAUGGACGCUCAAUGUCCAGGUUCCUGCGGCAGAUAUCAUAGAUGGCCUCGUUGUCUACCAUGAAGGCACAGUCGGAGUGCUCCAGGGUAGUGUGGGUGGUCAAGAUGGAGUUGUACGGCUCGACUACAGCAGUGGACACCUGAGGAGCAGGGUAGAUGGCGAACUCGAGCUUGGACUUCUUGCCAAAGUCAACCGAGAGGCGCUCCAUCAGCAGGGAGGUGAAGCCAGAGCCGGUUCCUCCACCAAAGGAGUGGAAGACAAGGAAACCUUGGAGUCCGGUACACUGAUCAGACUGGAAACAGAAGGUAGAACUCACUGUUACACACCUUGAUGGAGCGCCUUCAUCAAAAAACACACCUACAUAGGACAGAAUUUUCCUAAUUGAAGAAGGAAAAGUUAAGAUCAUACCAGUUUACGGAUCCUGUCAAGCACAGAGUCAAUGUGCUCCUUCCCCACGGUGUAGUGACCACGGGCGUAGUUGUUGGCAGCAUCCUCCUUUCCUGAGAUCAGCUGCUCAGGAUGGAAGAGCUGGCGGUAUGUGCCAGUACGAACCUCGUCUGAAACAGAGAGAAGACAUGAAUGAGUCAGUUUGAACCAAUGUUACCACAGUUAUUAAAGUUUUGAAGAAU